UUAUGAUUCUUUCUAUAUGAACUUUUGAGCCAUGGAGGUUUUAUGUUUGUAAAACUUUCCUCGAGCCGAGAAAAGCGAUUUAAAAAUCCGUGACGUCAUCACAAUGUAAAGUCUAUUGGCCGAGCGGGAGCUCGUGGGCGGGGCACACAGGUGUGGAGAGAGAACGAGAAAGAGAGAAAAGUAGAGUGUGAGUAAAAGUCCUGUAACUUGACGGACUGAGUAGCGAUGUAUGCGCAGUGUUCACAAACAAAUGUGUAGCUGGUGUCUGAGAUUAUCUACCCAACAGUCUAUGCCAGGAUACUCAUGCUACAUAUUUUCUACGAGCAGCUGAAGAUACUUCUACUCGAAGUAUGUUGUGCAGUUGUUCAAGUUUGUUUGUUUGUUAGCUCAUUAGCCGAACGUGUGUUGUUAGCAUUCAUUAGCAAAGUGAACACACGAGUGAUUUAUUAGCAUUAAUUAGCACAGUCAAUGGACUUAUAGCCACCGUGUAGCUAACCCAGUUUAUGCUAAAGGCUUUAGUUCAUCGUUUUCGACGUGGAAACCCUGAGGAUUAUCGGACAGUGCUAUGAGCUACUAAGUCAAUGCUCAGAGAGACUUUUCACUACAUGGGCAGGACCCGCCAUCUCUGGACUUCUACGAGCAGCUGAAGAUACUUCUACUCGAAGUAUGUUGUGCAGUUGUUCAAGUUUGUUUGUUAGCUCAUUAGCCGAACGUGUGUUGUUAGCAUUCAUUAGCAAAGUGAAUGGACUCAUUGCCAUUAUAACUAACACACAAGUGAUUUAUUAGCAUUAAUUAGCACAGUCAAUGGACUUAUAGCCACCGUGUAGCUAACCCAGUUUAUGCUAAAGGCUUUAGUUCAUCGUUUUCGACGUGGAAACCCUGAGGAUUAUCGGACAGUGCUAUGAGCUACUAAGUCAAUUUUCAGAGAGACUUUUCACUACAUGGGCAGGACCCGCCAUCUCUGGACUUCAGCGUGUAUCCUGUUCCUUCCCGGAGACCGAGGCUGGUAUAAACUGUAUCCUGUUCCCUCCCGGAGACCGAGGCUGGUAUAAACUGCAUCCUGUUCCCUCCCGGAGACCGAGGCUGGUGUAAACUGUAUCCUGUUCCCUCCCGGAGACCGAGGCUGGUGUAAACUGUAUCCUGUUCCCUCCCGGAGACCGAGGCUGGUAGAAACUGCUGAUUGGAGUCAGACGUCAUGACCAAGGAGGGGAAAUAAAGCUUCACAUCCUUAACCAGUGAAGACUGGAUCGGGGAGCAGUUGUGUUCCCAGACAAACAGAAAGAGAGACGGGAGAGAGACUUCCAGGAGG